rnacentral:rRNA from 1 species
ACCCCCGAUCAAGCAAGAA